rnacentral:rRNA from 1 species
AUUGAACGCUGGCGGCAUGCCUUACACAUGCAAGUCGAACGGCAGCACGGGUGCUUGCACCUGGUGGCGAGUGGCGAACGGGUGAGUAAUACAUCGGAACGUACCUUAUCGUGGGGGAUAACGCAGCGAAAGCUGUGCUAAUACCGCAUACGCCCUGAGGGGGAAAGCGGGGGAUCGAAAGACCUCGCGCGAUUAGAGCGGCCGAUGCCUGAUUAGCUUGUUGGUGGGGUAAAAGCCCACCAAGGCGACGAUCAGUAGCUGGUCUGAGAGGACGAGCAGCCACACUGGGACUGAGACACGGCCCAGACUCCUACUGGAGGCAGCAGUGGGGAAUUUUGGACAAUGGGGGCAACCCUGAUCCAGCAAUGCCGCGUGAGUGAAGAAGGCCUUCGGGUUGUAAAGCUCUUUUGUCAGGGAAGAAACACCGGCUCUAACACAGUCCGGGAAUGACGGUACCUGAAGAAUAAGCACCGGCUAACUACGUGCCAGCCGCCGCCGUAA